UCUCACCGUCAGAUAACAGAUCAGUAGACUGCCCUCAAAACCGAUUCUUUAUCUCUAUCUCUGUCUCUCGCUUUCUCAAUUCUCAAACUCGAUCGUUUCGUUCUGAUUUCGGCUGCCGAAUUGUUUGCUCGAUCUUCAGGAAAAUGGGUACGCUGCUUCGUACUUCCCACUCUUCUUUUCGUUCUUGUUCUUACUGUUGUUCUACUCUUACUGCUGCUGCUACGACUACUAGUAUUGCUAGUGCUAAAAAAAACCCGAAUCACAAUCACAAUCUGAAUCAAAAUCAUUUCUUGAAAUCUGUUAGAGAUCAGUGCAAAUCUAGAAGCUUUAGGAAUGUUGAUCAUGCCUUACACCUGUUUGAUACAAUGCUUCACAUGCGCCCUUUGCCUGCCAUUGACGAUUUUAAUCACAUGUUGGGUGCCAUUGCAAGAUUGAACUAUCACCCAGUAGUCAUUUCUCUAAUUAAACGAAUCGAAUCAUUUGGUAUCUCUCCUGAUGUUUAUACUCUUAAUAUUUUGAUUAACUGCUUCUGCCAUUCGAACCGAGUAGAUUUUGGGUUUUCUGUCUUGGCAACAAUUUUGAAACUUGGUUAUCACCCAGACUCUAUUACUCUAAACACCCUUGUCAAGGGGCUCUGUCUUCAAGGUAACAUUGUUGGAGCUGUGAGGUUGGUAGAAGAAAUAGAGAGGAAUGGGUAUAAGCCUAAUGCAAUUACUUGUGGAACAAUACUAAAUUGUCUGUGUAAGAUUGGACAGACUAGUAUGGCUAUUGGGUUGCUUAGGAAGAUGGAAGAAGGGAAUUUUGAGCUUCAACUGAUAACGUAUAACACAAUCAUUGAUAGUUUAUGUAAGGAUACAAUGGUAACUGAGGCUUUGAACCUUUUAUCUGAAAUGAUGAAUAAAGGCAUUCAGCCGGACCUUGUCACUUACAAUUCCUUAGUUCAAGGCCUAUGCAAUUUCGGCAGGUGGAGAGAGGCUACUACCUUAUUGAACGAGAUGGCACAGAGGAAGAUUGUGCCAAGUGUGAGGACCUUCAACAUAUUGGUGGACACAUUUUGCAAAGAGGGGAUGUUGAAAGAGGCGAAAAUUAUUUUUGAUAAGAUGAUUCAAAGAGGUAUUGAGCCUGACGUAGUCUCUUAUAAUUCUUUAAUUGAUGGAUACUGUUUGCAAAAUAAAUUGAAUGAUGCCAUCGAAGCAUUGAACAUGAUGGUUGAGAGGGGUUGUUCACCUAAUGUUGUUAGCUAUAACACAUUGAUUAAUGGAUUUUGUAAAAAUAAAAAAAUUGAUAAGGCAAUGAAUCUCUUUCAUGAAAUGUCCAAGAAGGGAGUAACUCCAGAUGUUGUGACUUAUAGUACUCUUGUAGGUGGGUUAUGUCGAGUGGGGAGACGCAAGGCUGCUCUAGAGCUAUUCCAUAAGAUGCAUGUUUGUGGCCAACCUCCAAAUCUCCAAACUUAUGCUGUCUUGUUGGACGGCCUGUGUAAGAAUGGACAAGUUGUUGAGGCAAUAAAAGUGAUUCUUGAGAUGGAAGACAAAACGUUGUGCAACAAUAUUGUGAUUUACAACAUUUUGAUUGACGGUUUGUGUAACAUCGGGAAUCUUAAAGUUGCAAGAGAACUCUUUUAUAGUCUACCUACGAAAGGAUUGCAACCCAAUGUUCAAACUUACACCAUAAUUCUCAAAGGGCUUUGCAAAGAGGGACUAAUAGAUGAAGUGAGUGAGCUGCUUGAGAAAAUGGAUGGGAAUGGUUGUACCCAUGACGAUCGCACAUAUAACACAAUCAUCCAAGGGUUACUGCAACACAAUGAGACAUCAAAGGCAAUGAAAUAUCUUGAAAUAAUGGUUGAAAAGGGUUUUUCAACGAAUGUGACGGUUGCAACCAUGUUGGUUGGCUUGCUGUCAUCUAAUCAAGUAGAUAAGAACAUUCAAGAAUUGCUUCAUAAGUUUGUGUGAAGGUUGCUUAACUUCUCCAUAUCUUGGACAAGCUUCAUAUUUUUACCCAUCUCUUGUCAAUAUGUCAGCACCUGCAGAAUAGCUUGCAGCAUCUCCUGCCUAAAUCAAGGGAAAUGAUUUUUCGUUGAAGUUGAAUCUAUCAAUGGAGAGGUCCUUCUUAUAUACCUUGUAAGAAUCUUAAUGUUUAAUAAAGUAUCUAUAUGAUCUGAA